rnacentral:miRNA from 1 species
UCUCCGGUUUUACAAAAGUUUUAUUGAAUCAAAAUAAAAACAAUGACCGACGUUUCAGUCCCAGCUCGGGACUUUCCUCAGGGUCCAACAAAACAGAAUAACCUGUUUUGUUGGACCCUGAGGAAAGUCCCGAGCUGGGACUGAAACGUCGGUCAUUGUUUUUAUUUUGAUUCAAUAAAACUUUUGUAAAACCGGAGAG